rnacentral:rRNA from 1 species
UACGUAGGUGGCAAGCGUUAUCCGGAAUUAUUGGGCGUAAAGAGCGCGCAGGUGGUUGAUUAAGUCUGAUGUGAAAGCCCACGGCUUAACCGUGUAGGGUCAUUGGAAACUGGUCGACUUGAGUGCAGAAGAGGGAAGUGGAAUUCCAUGUGUAGCGGUGAAAUGCGUAGAGAUAUGGAGGAACACCAGUGGCGAAGGCGGCUUCCUGGUCUGUAACUGACACUGAGGCGCGAAAGCGUGGGGAGCAAACAGGAUUAGAUACCCCGGUA